GAUGAAGAACGGCAGUAAAAUGCGAUAAGUAAUGUGAAUUGCAGAAUUCAGUGAAUCAUCGAAUCUUUGAACGCACAUUGCGCCCGCCAGUAUUCUGGCGGGCAUGCCUGUUCGAGCGUCAUUUCAACCCUCAAGCCCCCGGGUUUGGUGUUGGGGAUCGGGCUGUACUCCAGCCCGGCCCCGAAAUCUAGUGGCGGUCUCGCUGCAGCCUCCAUUGCGUAGUAGCUAACACCUCGCAACUGGAACGCGGCGCGGCCAAGCCGUUAAACCCCCAACUUCUGAAUGUUGACCUCGGAUCAGGUAGGAAUACCCGCUGAACUUAAGCAUAUCAAUAAGCGGAGGA
rnacentral:misc_RNA from 1 species